GGCUUGUUGAUUAUAAUUUCAAGUCUGACCUGCCCAGUGAGGAGUUUAACGGCCGCGGUAUAUUGACCGUGCAAAGGUAGCAUAAUCAUUAGUUUUUUAAUUGAAAGCUUGAAUAAAAGGUUUGAUGAAAAAAAUUCUGUCUCUGUAGGAAUUUAUUAGAAUUUUAUUUUUAAGUAAAAAGGCUUAAAUAUCAAUAGAAGACGAGAAGACCCUAUAGAAUUUUAUGUUUUGCUUGUAGUAAAAUUUGAAGAAAGGAAAAUUUUAUUGUGUGUUAGAAUAUUUUGUUGGGGUGAUAGAAAAAUUAAAUUAACUUUUUUUAAAUUAAUACACUAAUUUGUGAUUAAAUGAUCCUAAAAUUUAGAUUAUAAGAUUAAAUUACCUUAGGGAUAACAGCGUAAUUUUUCUUAGAGUUCUUAUUGAAAGAAAAGAUUGCGACCUCGAUGUUGGAUUAAAAUUAAUUAUUGGUGUAGAAGCUAAUGUAAUUAGGUCUGUUCGACCUUUAAAAUUUUACAUGAUCUGAGUUUAAACCGGUGUGAG
rnacentral:rRNA from 1 species